AACGAACGCUGGCGGCAUGCCUAACACAUGCAAGUCGAACGAGACCUUCGGGUCUAGUGGCGCACGGGUGCGUAACGCGUGGGAACCUACCCUUAGGUUCGGAAUAACUCCCCGAAAGGGGUGCUAAUACCGGAUAAUGUCUUCGGACCAAAGAUUUAUCGCCUUUGGAUGGGCCCGCGUUGGAUUAGCUAGUUGGUAGGGUAAAAGCCUACCAAGGCGACGAUCCAUAGCUGGUCUGAGAGGAUGAUCAGCCACACUGGGACUGAGACACGGCCCAGACUCCUACGGGAGGCAGCAGUGGGGAAUAUUGGACAAUGGGCGAAAGCCUGAUCCAGCAAUGCCGCGUGAGUGAUGAAGGCCUUAAGGUUGUAAAGCUCUUUUACCCGGGAUGAUAAUGACAGUACCGGGAGAAUAAGCUCCGGCUAACUCCGUG
rnacentral:rRNA from 1 species